rnacentral:rRNA from 1 species
UAAAGAAUUUCGGUAUGGGAUGGGGAUGCGUUCCAUUAGUUAGUUGGCGGGGUAACGGCCCACCAAGACAACGAUGGAUAGGGGUUCUGAGAGGAAGGUCCCCCACAUUGGAACUGAGACACGGUCCAAACUCCUACGGGAGGCAGCAGUGAGGAAUAUUGGUCAAUGGACGAGAGUCUGAACCAGCCAAGUAGCGUGAAGGAUGACUGCCCUAUGGGUUGUAAACUUCUUUUAUAUGGGAAUAAAACGUUCCACGUGUGGGAUUUUGUAUGUACCAUAUGAAUAAGGAUCGGCUAACUCCGUGCCAGCAGCCGCGGUAAUACGGAGGAUCCGAGCGUUAUCCGGAUUUAUUGGGUUUAAAGGGAGCGUAGGUGGAUUGUUAAGUCAGUUGUGAAAGUUUGCGGCUCAACCGUAAAAUUGCAGUUGAAACUGGCAGUCUUGAGUACAGUAGAGGUGGGCGGAAUUCGUGGUGUAGCGGUGAAAUGCUUAGAUAUCACGAAGAACUCCGAUUGCGAAGGCAGUUCACUGGACUGCAACUGACACUGAGGCUCGAAAGUGUGGGUAUCAAACAGGAUUAGAUACCCUGGUAGUCCACACAGUAAACGAUGAAUACUCGCUGUUUGCGAUAUACAGCAAGCGGC